AGUGAACGCUGGCGGUAUGCCUAAUACAUGCAAGUCGAACGACCACACAGUAAGCUUUCGCCCUUACCGUUGGCGAGUGGCGGACGAGUGAGGAGUAGAUCGGCAUCUACUUUUACUUGGGUAAUUUCGUAGGGCCGCAUCCGCUACCACCUCAUAUUACGUACGGCUGGAUUCAGUGGUGCUACGUACCUUUGCUGACUGAUUGAGACGGCGCCGUAUUAGCUAGUUGGCGAGGUAAAGGCCCACCAAGGCAACGAUACGUAGCUGGUCUGAGAGGAUGAUCAGCCACACUGGAACUGAGACACGGUCCAGACUCCUACGGGAGGCAGCAGUGGGGAAUAUUGGGCAAUGGGCGCAAGCCUGAUCGAGCAAUGCCGCGUGAGUGAUGAAGGCCUUCGGGUUGUAAAGCCCUUUUAUUGGGAAAGAAAAGCAGCAUGUGAAACCCCCGCUGUUCUGACGGUACCCAAAGAGAAAGCACCGGCUAACUUCGUG
rnacentral:rRNA from 1 species